CAUGUUCCAUGUUGCACUUCUG
rnacentral:miRNA from 1 species